UACGUAGGGGGCAAGCGUUGUCCGGAAUCAUUGGGCGUAAAGAGCGUGUAGGCGGCCCGAUAAGUCCGCCGUGAAAGUCCAGGGCUCAACCCUGGAAUGCCGGUGGAAACUGUCGGGCUGGAGUCCGGAAGAGGCGAGUGGAAUUCCUGGUGUAGCGGUGAAAUGCGCAGAUAUCAGGAGGAACACCAAUGGCGAAGGCAGCUCGCUGGGCCCGAUACUGACGGCUGAGGCGCGGAAA
rnacentral:rRNA from 1 species